GUCUUUGGUGUUUUUCACCCCGAAAAAUGUGCAAAGACUAUAGCCUUUGGUGUUUUUCACCCCGAAAAAUGUGCAAAGACUAUAGUCUUUGGUGUUUUUCACCGCCAAAAAUGUGCAAAGACUAUAGUCUUUGGUGUUUUUCGCCCCGAAAAAUGUGCAAAGACUAUAGUCUUUGGUGUUUUUCGCCCCAAAAAAUGUGAGAAGACUAUAGCCUUAGGUGUUUUUCGCCCCGGAAAAUGUGCAAAGACUAUAGUCUUUGGUGUUUUUCGCCCCGAAAAAUGUGCAAAGACUAUAGUCUUUGGUGUUUUUCACCCCGAAAAAUGUGCAAAGACUAUAGCCUUUGGUGUUUUU
rnacentral:misc_RNA from 1 species